AAGGAAUAUUGGUCAAUGGAGGCAACUCUGAACCAGCCAUGCCGCGUGCAGGAUGACGGCCCUAUGGGUUGUAAACUGCUUUUGUACCAGAGAAAACCCCAGUACGUGUACUGGGUUGAUAGUAUGGUAAGAAUAAGCAUCGGCUAACUUCGUGCCAGCAGCCGCGGUAAGACGAAGGAUGCAAGCGUUAUCCGGAUUCAUUGGGUUUAAAGGGUGCGUAGGCGGACUUGUAAGUCAGUGGUGAAAUCUCUCAGCUUAACUGAGAAACUGCCAUUGAUACUGCAGGUCUAGAGUAUAGAUGACGUUGGCGGAAUAUGACAUGUAGUGGUGAAAUACUUAGAUAUGUCAUAGAACACCGAUUGCGAAGGCAGCUAACGAAACUAUAACUGACGCUGAGGCACGAAAGUGCGGGGAUCAAAC
rnacentral:rRNA from 1 species